rnacentral:lncRNA from 1 species
AGGGCAGGUUUCCUCCGGGUGUUUCUGACAGCCUGAAGCUGGGCUGGAGUGGGUUUCCCAGUGCGCACGUCCAGGGGGUUCAGGGCUCAAGCGCACCCUUCCCCCACACCAGGGGAUGCUUGUGUGGCUGAGGACCAGGGAGAGGCCACUGGUAGCCGUAGCCAAAUCUGCCACCAGACCCACCCAGCUUGGGCUGCCUGGCAGGCAGAGGUGGGUCAGCACCCUCUCUGGACACCAGUGACUCCUGAGAGCCUGCAGCUCUGGAUGCCUCUGUCGGACCUAGAGCUGAAGAUGAAAUUGGCCUGAGGAAGAUUGAUGGUGGCCAACAUCAGGCUACUGAGGCCUAAGGCCCGCGAUUACGAUUCGGGCCAACUGUAGCUAUUUCUUUGAGGCCAACAUAUGUGAGAAGAGAAACAAAAUCAACACAUAUAUCUAUUACCUACUAUCUUAGCUGCUAGGCACUGUAGGGAGAAACCCAGACCUAUUAGCCUUCACCUGCAAGUGGUUUAUAUAUUUGGGGUGAUGAAAUAUAUAGAGAUAGACACGGAGACAUGAGAUGCACAGGUUAAAUAGUAUGAAUCAGUUUCAAUGCCUGUUCUAGGCUAGAGAGAAGAGGGUUACAAGGUGGUCCAUAAUUACCAGGCUGGGACGAGUGCAGUUAAUGAGUCCUGCAGGCUUUGGGAGGAGGGCUCUGGAGGCCCUGACUGCAGGUGGGCAGGAGGCAGGAGGCAACACCCUGCUGGGGGAACAGGGUGGAACAGAGGGAGGAGAGAAAGGAGCAUGGUGCGGGGUGUGUGGCUGGGGGUGAGUAUAUUGAGUGAUCCUUCUGCCACACUCAGGAAUUGGGAAGUGGGACCUGAGGCUGGAAAGCCAUGCAAGGCCACAUGCAGGCACUUAAAAAAAAUUUUUUUUCACCUUGCAGGGGUUCAGAACUCAGGGACACUUUAUCACUAAGUUGCAUACGUCCCCAGCUCUUUUAAAACUUUGAGACAGGGUCCUGCUAAAUUGCCCAAGCUGCCCUUGAACUUGCAGUCUGGCUGCCUCAGCCUCCUGAGUAGCUGGGAUUACAGGCAUGGGCCACGAGCCCUGCCUUGAGUGCAGGUGGAGGGCGAACUUGAUCCUGUGAAGGCAGCAUUUGAUCCAACAAAAUGGGAGGGCAGGUCAGUGUGUGUGAAAAAGGUGUUUUUAAGGACAACUAGUCUGGGAGCAACGUGCAUCGAGGGAGACCACUUGGAGGCAUUCACAAGAAACCAGGCAGACAUCAGGUCGCAGUGCUGGAGUGUUAAGAGGAAAACUAGAAACCAACAGCAAGAGGAGCUAGAAAACUAGAGAAGCAACAGUGAGGAGCCAGAGGGCUGCACUUCCUUUCUCAAGACCCAGAAACAACGGAGCGAGACCCAGAUUCCUGGAUCCACUGUUCCGGCUAUGGAGCACUCCUGGAAAACUUCCGGAUACGACGCUCUUCUUUUAGAAAGGCCUCUACGGGUCGGAGAUUUAGCUCCGUGGCACCGCGCCUGCCUGGCAAGCUCAAAUUCCCGAGUUCGAUCCCUGGUACCAAAAAAAAAAAAAAAAAAAAAGAGCCUUUAAGACCCUUACACGAAUCUCCAAAGCCCUGUUAGGAUCUCCGCCUUUCAGGCUAAGGACUCCAAGUGCAAAUAACCUGCUUUUGCUCCCGUUGCCAGGGUAACAGCCACAAAGUCAAUUCGGCCACCGUAACUGUUCCCAGAAUGCCGCGCGCCUUCACGCUCUUCCAAGGUCCGACUCCUUCCAGAGACCCGUGUCAGUUGGUCUCGCGAGGGUUGCUGGCAGGAUGUUAGAAUUGGCAGACUUGAGCAUAUUUUUGGGAAGGACAGUAAGGACUGUUCCCCACCCCCCCCAACUUUGCAAGCAAUUAGAAGGCUAAGGAAAGGGCAUAAUCUCACGGAAUUUUUGUUGAUUCUUAAUCAGUGGAUUAGAUGUUAUUAGAAAAAUGGAAAGGUGAUGUAUAUUUUAAGUAACCUGAGUUAGCCAUUCCACAAUGUAUACAUAUUUUAAAACAUGUUGUAGAUCAUAAAUAUAUAUUUUAUUUGUAAAAAAAUAAAAUAGCGUUUAAAGUUAAAAAGCUGAG